UACGUAGGGGGCAAGCGUUGUCCGGAUUUAUUGGGCGUAAAGAGCGUGUAGGCGGCUUUACAGGUCCGUUGUGAAAACUCGAGGCUCAACCUCGAGACGCCGGUGGAAACCGUAAGGCUAGAGUCCGGAAGAGGAGAGUGGAAUUCCUGGUGUAGCGGUGAAAUGCGCAGAUAUCAGGAGGAACACCGGUGGCGAAGGCGGAUCUCUGGGCCGAUACUGACGCUGAGGAGCGAAAGCGUGGGGAGCGAACAGG
rnacentral:rRNA from 1 species